rnacentral:rRNA from 1 species
UUACAAUGGCCAGUACAAAGGGCAGCUACCGGGUGACCGGAUGCUAAUCUCUAAAGCUGGUCUCAGUUCGGAUCGAAGUCUGCAACCCGACUUCGUGAAGCUGGAUUCGCUAGUAAUCGCGCAUCAGCCAUGGCGCGGUGAAUACGUUCCCGGGCCUU